UUAAGAGAGCUAUUACUCUUCAAUCUGUUCUUCUCAAGCAAGGGGUAAGUAGACUUUUCUUCAGGACAUAAAAACUUUAUGUCAAUUAUGAUGCCAUCUCAGUGAUACUGUAGUCAAACAUAAUGCAUGUUGUACUGAUCCAUUGAAAGUGAAAGGUGAAAGCUAUGAGCAGGAAGGUUGAACAAGAAAUUCAUGGUUAUUAAAGGCAGAGAACACCAUGAGUGUGUGUAUAUCUUUCAGGAAAUUUAUCCACCGAGGUUGCACCAGUUUGCCUAUGUUACAGAUGGAGCUUGUACAGAAGAUGAAAUCCUCGGUAUGGAAUCAAUCAUUAAGAAGGCUCUUAAUUGGAACUGAAAUCCAGUGACAGUUGUAUCAUGGCUGAACAUUUACAUGCAAGUUGCAUAUUUAAAUGAGCUUUAUGAGGUAUUGCUACCACAAUAUCCACAGCAAAUAUUUGUACAAACAGCAAAGCUCUUGGACCUCUGUGUGCUGGAUGUUGGCUGCUUGGAAUAUACAUAUGGAGUACUUGCAGCUUCUGCUUUGUAUCUGUUCUCCUCAUCUGAGUUGAUGCAGUUGAUGCUGAGUUUCAGGUUAUGAAUGGUGUGAGAUAGAGGAAUGUGUGAAAUGGAUGGUUCCAUUUGCGAUGGCUAUAAGGGAAGUAGGAAGCUCCAAACUCAAACACUUCAGGCAUAUAGCUCCUGAAGACUUGGACACUAUACAGAUGCACAUAAACAGCUUGGAUUUGCUGGUAUGCAUGUGCAUAAUGAAGACAAAAUCUGUCUGUGAAAUCUUUGUCUUGUUUCUUCUUUGGUUAGAACAUAUAGUAAACUGAAGUGAAGCAUUACCAGAUGGAGACUGAGUGUAUUCAGAUGAUAAAAGGCACACAGUUGUACUCCAGUUCCAAAAGUCUUGGGACAGAGACUUGUCUUGGGACUGACUUUUUUAGUAUAAAAAGGUGAUUGUGACUUAAGUCUCUCAUCUUAAA